CAACACCAGGCCCCGCCGCCAUUCUGUUGUUGCCCCGCGACCAGUUUCAGUUUCACCGCUUCGAGUUUCCUACAGCGUCCAACAUCCAACAUCCGGGCUUCCGUAGUGAACCACACUGGUACAGCAGAGCUGGAUGGGACAAAUGUCCUCCCCGCGGUGCUGAUUUCCCCUGGACGUCCGCAGCAACAUAUGGGACCCAGGGCAUCGGUCCAGAGGCAGAGAACUGCUCCCACUAUUGAUCUGAGAAAUCACCAAUGAUAUGACCUAGCCUACAUUAACACAAAGUCUCAAAUAUUCAAUUUAAAUAGUGUUGAAAAUACCCUAUUGCAAUUUUGAACAUUUAAUAUUUUCAGAUCUGCCAGUGAAAAUAUAAUUUUUUUGCAAUUAGCCUUUUUUUAAAUAAGAAAUUUUGAUAGGAUGAAAAAUAGAAUGUUUAUCAAGCAGUCA